AACAAUCGCCUCGACGUUUGGCGGCGAAACCCUGCGACCGCUCAGUCGUGCGUUCAUAUCGCGCCACCGCCUGCCCGCCGCCUGGCCACACGCCCGGCGGCGAGACUUCUGCGGCGACGCUCGGCCCCCAUCUUUGGCCGAGGUCCGUACCCCUGCGCGUUUCAUCAUUGCGGUCGCGUUAGGCCCUGCUCCAGCUUACCUUGGCGAAGCCGAGCUCCAUCAUCAGACGGUCGGCCACGAACUCGAUGUAGCGCUUCAUCAGCUCGCAGUUCAUCCCGAUCAGCUUGACGGGCAGCGCUUGCGUCAAGAACUCCUGAAAGACAAAUGAACAGCCAUCAGAGGGACAGCCCAAUGCAGAGGUCGGGGAACGCCUGGGACUCACCUGCUCUAUGGCCACCGCGUUUUUGAUGAUGGACGUCACCGUUUCGGCAGACGGCUUGUUGACCAGGUGCUUGAACAUCAGACACGCAAAGUCACAGUGGAGACCCUGAAAGCACACGGCGUGUCAAAGGCCGGCCAAGGCUGGGACAAAGCACUCGGCGGCCUACCUCGUCUCUGCUGAUGAGUUCAUUGGAGAAGGUGAGUCCGGGCAUCAGGCCGCGCUUUUUCAGCCAGAAGAUGGCGGCAAACGAUCCGGAGAAGAAGAUGCCCUCCACCGCAGCGAAAGCCACCACUCGCUCACCUGUUAAGAUGGGUGUCAACCAAACGGUUGUCGGGUGCAACGAGGGCCAUAGACUUCCAAACGUAUUGACCUGACACUUUGUCAUUCUCUGUGUCACGCUUUCUCGUAGAGGGCUGGACCAAAGUCCGCCUCAUAUAGUAGGAGACGGACACUGACAGCACAGCCCAAGCCGGAUUUGUGAAAAAGUACAAAAGCUGUACCGCCUACAAAAAUGAAGGAUUGUCUCAGGAGGGAUUUGUUCGAGAAUUCAAGUGAAACACAAUGGGGAAGAAGUGUUGGGUUGUGGGCUGCAAGACCACCUUGGGGACCCCGAUCACCCUCCACAAAUUCUGAUCCUUAAGGGCAAAAGCUGGUCCUACACAAACCCCUACGCCGACAGCAACAAGCAGAUUUUCAUCUACUUUGACCCCGUGCACCUUUGGAAGAACAUCUACAGCAGCUUCCACAACAACGGCUGUAUUGGUGCUGCCCAGGUGUCCUGGGGCUGAAGAGCCUGAGAGGAUGAGGUUGGCCCGAUUCUCGAGCCGGGAGGUGCUGGCCAGGAGGGAGAUCUACAAGUCUGUCAAGCCUGGCUACAAGUUGACCCAGAAGAUGCUGGCGCGCUCUUCGAUCGAAAAGCAGAGGGUCAGGCUUAUGAUGGCGAUCUUCAACCCCAACACAUUUUCCGGGCUGAAGCUCCUCACCAUGACGACGGGCAAGGAGAAACACAGGGACACACAGGUCUGACAUCCUGGAGAUGUUCCAGAGGACAAGGGAGAGCUGAAGACGGGCCGGGCGGUCCUCAAGCAGCCACAUGGCAUCCUUCGGAAUGUCGCUGUGGGACACGCUAAUGCGCAGGAAGCUCAAGACCACCUGCUGGACUUCCUGGCAGUCCCUCUUCAACUGUUUUGGUGCCAACUUUUCCAAGGAUAUGACUUCAGUAGCGAGGAAGAACAAGGCCUUGGAGUGGCCUGCCAGCAGCUAAAGGAGCAGUCGAGGAAGGCAGAAAGGAGACAGCGAGGAACAUGGCCUUUUGGGCAAAAACUUAUAUGUUAAAUAUUGCUAUUGAUCCUGAAAGUAUAAGUGAUUAUCUCUGCAUUUGGUGAUUUUUGUGUAUCCAGUGUAAAAUCUGAGAAUUUUAUAGCCGUUUUAAGUUUUG